AAGUGUAUCAAGAAAACAGUGUUACAGGUACAGGAGAUUCUACUUCUACUCUUGCUGCAGGAAAUGUCACGCUGCAGCAUUCACUGAAGCGACGGAUUAAGAAGAUUCGGCUUAUGGCUCUGAAGUAUGAAUUUCCUGAGCCUCUAGUUGGUGCGGAAAAUGCUGGUAUUGGAUAUAGAACUGCAGUGGCAACUGCAAGAGCAAAACUUGGGAGGUGGCG
rnacentral:misc_RNA from 1 species